ensembl:lncRNA
GUCAGCCUGUCACCAUGGUGUUGGCAGGGGUGAGUUGUGUUUGGCUGCCGAGUGCUGAUACAUCCUCAGUGCCAAAGCUUAGUUGUGAGCAGGGCAGUUGCUAGGAGCCUGGGGUAAACACGAAUGCUCCCUGCUUUCCAUACAGCUCCACUUCAAAGUCACGCAGCGCGCUCAUGAAAGUACCCAACGCUCCUCUCCGCUCCUUUGACAACAUGUGGUGCAUGGGUCUGUUUGCAGCGAUGCGGUAAUUGUUAGUAGACAGCGUUUUCGUUGGGGAAGAGGACAAGUAGCAGCACGACAGCUCAGAGUAACCCUCUCCCAUCUUCCCGGAGCACAUGUUCUACACCAGAAACGCAGAAUACCCAGGUCAGGCACCUCCGAGGUCAAGCCCAGCCUGCCCAGAGGGACCACAGCCGCAUUUCUUCGGCCCCUCCUGCCCGCAGCGGAAGGGAGGGAGGUAACUGAUUAUAGAAGAGCUGGAGACAAACAACAAACAGACAAACGUACAAAUUAUUUUCACAUCCACCUCCUAAUUGCUUGCUAAAAACCCUCUAGGACUCCGUGAUCAAAUUUAACAUAUUGCUGGAGCGGUGGUGAGUCACUUGUCAAAAAUUUUCAGCCUCAAUAGCAAAUCAACAGCACUGGCACAGUGAGGCAUGUUCAAAAUACAAGAGAGGGAAUUGUUGUGGAGCCUCUCCAGGGCGAAUCCAGCAAGCUCUCCCCAGAAAUAGAUCUCACCAACGUCUGGAGGGUUUUCAAGGUCAAGUCAUAAUCCUGAAAAUCCUGUAGCCUCACAUGCACGAAGGUGAGAAGGAGAGACAGCUUGAUACACGCACAAAGCAGAAAUCUGCAUUGAAAAUUAAUCCCUUGCCAAAUUUUGCGAUUGUCCCACUAUUGAUCUGGCUGCAGUUCUCAACCUCAUAGUGAUCACUUACCUUGACAAUGUAAUAGUACAGUGUAAUGUAAUUUGGAGAAAAUUGGUUUUAGUCAUAAAAUGGAGACAUAAGAGACUCUGUUCUAGAGGGGGAAAAUGGUAAUAUAUUUGCCAUUUUUUUUCUGGAGAAAAUGUAUUUACCUACAGCGUGUCAAAUUUUAGCCUGCAGCAAAAUGAUUUAUGAACAAAUUCUAAGCUUCUUCACAGCUGACAAGUUAAUUCUCACUGAAGAAAAAAAAAAAAAAAGAGGAAUUAAGACAACACUGAAGAAUGUUAAC